GUUUCCUGUUCUGGAAAUCUCUCUGCUGGCCCCUGGGGCACCUCCGUGAAUAGUGAAAUGCUCACUACUUGGCAGGGAGACUUUCAGCUCUGAGUCCAGCCUGCAAACACCCCAAUAUCACUCUUCGCACAGAGAUACAGGCACUGUGACACUAAGCUGGAGGCAAGAAUUUAAAAACAAAGAAAGAAAGAAAAAACAUCUUUACACGAGUUUUUAAAUCCUACUUUAAAACACAAAAGAAACAAAUCCAUCAUUGGCCACACAGCCCCAGCCACGGCCUCCCCACCAUGGAGCGAGAGGAGCCGCCUGGGUCCUGUUGCGCACGCGGAUUUGCUGGUCUGCUUAACUGGUGUCCAUUCUGGCAUUAUAGGCGUCCAUCUCCUCUGCCGAAAA
rnacentral:lncRNA from 10 species